CGAACGGGUGAGGAACACGUGAGAAACCUGCCCUUCAUUUGGGAUAACUCCGGGAAACCGGGGCUAAUACCGAAUACUCCGUCUCGGCGGCAUCGCUGAGCCGGGAAAAAAUUUUGAUGAAAGAUGGUCUCGCGGCCUAUCAGCUAGUUGGUGAGGUAAUGGCUCACCAAGGCGACGACGGGUAGCCGGCCUGAGAGGGCGACCGGCCACACUGGGACUGAGACACGGCCCAGACUCCUACGGGAGGCAGCAGUGGGGAAUAUUGGGCAAUGGGCGCAAGCCUGACCCAGCGACGCCGCGUGAGGGAUGAAGGCCUUCGGGUUGUAAACCUCUUUCAGUAGGGAAGAAGCGAAAGUGACGGUACCUAAAGAAGAAGCACCGGCUAACUAUGUGCCAGCAGCCGCGGUAAUACAUAGGGUGCAAGCGUUGUCCGGAAUUAUUGGGCGUAAAGAGCUCGUAGGUCGUUUGCCGCGUCGAUUGUGAAAAUCUGAGGCUCAACCUCAGACCUGCAGCCGAUACGGGCAAACUAGAGUGUGGUAGGGGAGACUGGAAUUCCUGGUGUAGCGGUGGAAUGCGCCGAUAUCAGGAGGAACACCAAUGGCGAAGGCAGGUCUCUGGGCCAUAACUGACACUGAGGAGCGAAAGCGCGGGGAGCGAACAGGAUUAGAUACCCUGGUAGUCCGCGCCGUAAACGAUGGGCACUAGCUGUGAGAGCCUUCCACGGUUCUCGCGACGCAGCAAACGCAUUAAGUGCCCCGCCUGGGGAGUACGAUCGCAAGAUUAAAACUCAAAGGAAUUGACGGGGCCCCGCACAAGCAGCGGAGCAUGCGGCUUAAUUCGACGCAACGCGAAGAACCUUACCAAGGCUUGACAUAUAGCGAAAAGUGGCAGAGAUGUCAUGUCCGCAAGGGCGCUAUACAGGUGGUGCAUGGUUGUCGUCAGCUCGUGUCGUGAGAUGUUGGGUUAAGUCCCGCAACGAGCGCAACCCUCGUUCUGUGUUACCAGCAUUUAGUUGGGGACUCACAGGAGACUGCCGGGGUCAACUCGGAGGAAGGUGGGGAUGACGUCAAAUCAUCAUGCCCCUUAUGUCUUGGGCUGCACGCAUGCUACAAUGGCUGGUACA
rnacentral:rRNA from 1 species